rnacentral:rRNA from 1 species
GGCGGACGGGUGAGUAACGCGUGAGAAUCUGCCUAUGGGUUCGGGAUAACGACUGGAAACGGUCGCUAAUACCGGAUGUGCCGGAAGGUAAAAGCUUUAGUGCCUGUAGAUGAGCUCGCGUCAGAUUAGCUAGUUGGUGAGGUAAGGGCUCACCAAGGCGACGAUCUGUAGCUGGUCUGAGAGGAUGACCAGCCACACUGGGACUGAGACACGGCCCAGACUCCUACGGGAGGCAGCAGUGGGGAAUUUUCCGCAAUGGGCGAAAGCCUGACGGAGCAAGACCGCGUGAGGGAAGAAGGUCUGUGGAUUGUAAACCUCUUUUGACAGGGAAGAACGAUGACGGUACCUGUCGAAUCAGCCUCGGCUAACUCCGUGCCAGCAGCCGCGGUAAUACGGAGGAGGCAAGCGUUAUCCGGAAUUAUUGGGCGUAAAGCGUCCGUAGGUGGGGGUCCAAGUCAGUUGUUAAAGAGUGGAGCUUAACUCCAUAAGGGCAAUUGAAACUGGGUUUCUAGAGUGCGAUAGGGGCAAGGGGAAUUCCCAGUGUAGCGGUGAAAUGCGUAGAUAUUGGGAAGAACACCGGUGGCGAAAGCGCCUUGCUGGGUCUGCACUGACACUGAGGGACGAAAGCUAGGGGAGCGAAAGGGAUUAGAUACCCCUGUAGUCC